rnacentral:tRNA from 1 species
UAGAAGGUGGUGUAGUGGAAGCACCUGGAGUUUUGAUCUCUUGGGUAUGGGUUCGAAUCCCAUUUUUCUAG